rnacentral:lncRNA from 1 species
UCACCAGGUACAUAUAUACUGAGUGCUGGGCUAGUUUCUGAUGAUGCAGAAAUGAAUGGCUUUAUUGUCUUCGUCCUCAAGGCCCUCAUGGUCUAGUGUAGAAGACAGACUGUAAAUAUUUACCAUUCAGUACGAUGUGUGCUGUUGCAGAGCGUGGCUUGGGCGCUAUGGGGAACCAGAGGGCAUGGAGCCUGGUUUGGAGGGGCAGGGAAGACUUUCUGAAAUAUGGGAGACAAGUCGAAGCCUAUCUGACCAAGGCACCAUGCAGGAGGAGGCGGGACAUUCAUGGCACAAGGCCAGCAUGGCAGCAGUGUGAGGUGUGAUGGGUGUGACCCAUUCAAGGAACUGCCAGGUGCUCCAUCUGAACCAACAUGUCUGAGCUGGGGGCCUGGCAUGAGGGUCAUGCAGUCCUGUGGGUGCCAAAACAAGGUGGUUAAUUUUAUCCUAAAAACAAUUGGCAUCUACUGAGGAGUUUUAUUUGGGAAGAGGUAAAAUUAAAUUAGAAUGGGCAAUGUAUCUCUGGAAGCAGAGUGAAGGGGGAGCUGGAGGGGCAAGCCCAGAGGCAGGGCCAACACUGAGCUGCAUGGUCCCUGCGAUGGACAAUCUGAGCCUGAGGUAAACGGGCUGAUGUGGGACUGACGGAUGCAAGGUGACAGGCUGAGGCUAGGGACCGUCAUCACUCCCAGUCACACUGCAAGCUGCAGCAGGGUAGAGCCACAUCUGAUUUGUCCCCAGUGCCUGACCAGAGUUGGGGCUCAGUGUUUGUUGAGUGAAUUCUUACUGCAUGGCCAGGGUUUCUGGUCCUGGCAGCUGGGUGGAUGGAGGGGUCAUAUUGAGAAUCCUGGAGUGCAGUAGUAGCCAGGUGUGAAGAGUCAAGCAGGUCUGCAGCCUGAGGAUCAGCAUGGCAGCAGGAGGGUCCUCUGGGAGCUGGUCAUGAAUUUGAUAUGGACCAUGGGAUGGUGCCCACUUUUGUUUGUAUCCUGGGGUACAGAUCACAGCUCCAUGAAGGUUUGAGCUAGGCAGGUGAGCCACGCUGGGAGCAAAGAUGGUGGUGGCUAGGUACUUGCUUAUCCCUAUACCAAUCAGCAGGAUGUGGGUGGGGCCAGAUAAGAGAAUAAAAGCAGGCUGCCCGAGCCAGCAUUGGCAACCCGCUCGGGUCCCCUUCCACACUGUGGAAGCUUUGUUCUUUUGCUCUUUGCAAUAAAUCUUGCUACUGCUCACUCUUUGGGUCCACGCUGCUUUUAUGAGCUGUAACACUCACCGCGAAGAUCUGCAGCUUCACUCCUGAGCCCAGCAAGACCACGAGCCCACCGGGAGGAAUGAACAACUCCAGACACGCUACCUUAAGAGCUGUACCACUCACCGCGAAGGUCUGCAGCUUCACUCCUGAGCCAGCGAGACCACGAACCCACCAGAAGGAAGAAACUCCGAACACAUCUGAACAUCAGAAGGGACAGACUCCAGACACGCCACCUUAAGAGCUGUAACACUCACCGCGAGGGUCCACGGCUUCAUUCUUGAAGUCAGUGAGACCAAGAACCCACCAAUUCCGGACACAGUGCUGAGAAUCAUGCCUUGAAAUCUAGCAGCUCUGUUAAAAACUGAGCAAGGUGUACUUCGGGGUUGUGUUGAGAAGGUUGGUGUUCAGCUAAAUCAGGAGGGAAGGCCAAGGAAAAUCAGGCUUGGCACCUGUCAACAGGUGGGACCCAAUAGCCAAGCAAAUGGUCCUGCAAACUGUACUACCCAACGUUCACAGCAAGGAUUCCAACUUCUCACCAGGGCAUGGAAAAUUUGCCUUCAUGUCAACCACCACCUUAGCCCUUGACUACCCAACGGACUCUUCCCAAGUCAACAGCCACUUCCUCCCUGGGGCUUAACAGGCAUUCCUUGAAGCCUGCCCCGGGCAGUUAGUCCUUCCCUUUUGUGUGAACUCUCGGCUGUUUUCGUUGUCUGCACACAGAGCAGUGGUCUAGGGAGCGAAGGGUUUUGGAAUGGACCUUUUCCUUUCUUAGCUUGCUGUAGGGAUUGUGCUUCAGCUAAGUAAAGUGGAAAAACAGAAGUACAAAAGCAACAGCCCCAGAUCUAAGGGCACCGUAGCUCUGGAAUCUGGAUUUUAUUCCAGAUUCAACCCUCAGCAGGGAGUUGAAGUGGUCAGCCCUGUGCUUUACAAGGCUGAUUGGGCAGCACCCAUAGUAGAAUUGUCAAUAUAAAGUAAUUGAAAGGAUCAGAAUCCAGGGUUUUCGUUGUUUUUAAGUUUUUAAGUUUUAAAAACAAAGUUGUUUUUGUUCGUUUUUAAGUUUACUUCUCUUUAAUCGGUCUCACUUUAUUGACCAGGCUGGUUUCGAACUCCUGGGCUUAAGUGAUUUCUCCUGUCUCAGCUUCUCAAAGUGCUGGGAUUACAGGCGUGAGCCGCUGCACCCAGCCCAGAAUCCAGUUUUAAAGAGUUUAUUCAAGCCAAAAGCUGGGAAUGGCCAUCUGAGAAACACAGACUCUAGGAAAAUGGGGCCAGGGCCCUGAAGUUAAAAGUUAAAGUCUUGCUUACAUAGGCAGAAAGCAAAGACAUUUAGUAACCUUGUAGAACAUUUUCUUGUAUAACUUUUCUUGUUUUAACUUUCUUGUUUAACAUUUUCUAUGCAAGGCUGGUUUAUGAGUUACAACCUAUAAUUAAUUAUAGGUUGUUCCCCUGCCUCCACCUUGUUUUCUUUUCUCUACAGCUUGUUUUCAUUUCCUUUCCAAUUUAAGAAUGUGUUUAACAUUCUAUCCCAGACAAUGUGAUGGUCAUGAAGUCUCUGUCAGAGAGGAAAGAGGGAGUUAAUCUAUAAUGAAGAUCAACAGUGAAGAGGAAAGGGGUCUUCCCUGGAACGCUUCAGUCAUAUACGACAUUUUACACAACAAUAAUGGACCUGUGUAAGGAGGUAUGUGUGGGAGAAGAUUCCAGAAGGUCUUGAGACACUCCAGAUGAAGGUUGGUGUGGGGCUGUGCUGCUGGAGCACCAGAGAGUGAAAAGAGGUUAUCUCCCUCUGUGCCAGGCCAGAGUGCAGUGGUGCAAUCACGGCUCACUGUAGUCUCAACCUCCUGGGCUCAAGAGAUCCUCCCACUUCAGCCUCCCAAGCAGCUAAGACUACAGGCACGUGUCAUCAUAUCUGGCAAAUUAAAAAAAAAAUUAUAGAGAUGGGCUCUCCCUGUGUUUCCCUGGUUGGUCUCAAACUCCUGGGCUCAAGUGAUCCUCCCAUCUUGGCCUCCCAACUUACUGGGAUUACAGGCAUUUGCCACUGUGCCCAGCCCAUUUCAAUAUUUCUGAUCAAUAAAUGUGCCUGUCCUUCAGAUUCUCCUUUGAAUUGGCUGUCACACCUCUUCAGUUUCUUCACUGAGGAGUUAAACAUAAUCUUGAGCAGCACGUGAUAUUGUUUAGCUCUGUGUCCCCACCAAAUCUCAUCUUGAAUCGUAAUCCCCCUGUGUGUCAAGGGAUGGACCUGGUAGGGGAUGAUUGGAUCAUGGGGGGUGGUUUUCCCCAUGGUGUUCCCAUAUAGUGAAUGAGUUCUCACGAGAUCUGAUGGUUUAAAAGUGUUUGGCAGUUCCCCCUUCUCUCUCUCUCUCUCUCUCUCUCUCUCUCUCUCUCUCUCUCUGGCCACUUUGUGAAAAAGGUGCUCGCUUUUCCUUCGCUUUCUGCCAUGAUUGUAAGUUUCCUGAGGUCUCCCCAGCGAUGUGGAACUGUGAGUUAAUUAAACCUCUUUCCUUUAUAAAUUACCCAGUUUCAGGUAGUUCUUUAUAGCAGUGUGCAAAUGGACUGUUACAGCACAUAUUCAUUUUUAUAUCUAUAUUGAGUUAUCAUUUAACCUGUUUUUGAAAAUUAUCUUUUAACAUGCAUUUUUCUCUUUCUUAUUAUCUUCUUUUGCUAAAACCUGUUCUCCAGUAGCUUCCUAAGAAAGGGUGCACAGGAGACCCAUUUUUUGAGCCCCUCCUUAUCUGACAAUGUUUUUGUUUGACCCUAACCUUUGAUUAAUAAUGCGACUGGAUGUUGAACUUGUGAAAGGAAAAUAAAAACUCAGGACCCCAAUUCAGUAUGCCAAAAGGAAAAAAAAAAAAGAAGCUGAAAGCUGAGUCAUGCAAGAAACUGCCUUUUCUUUUGCUCCUAAGUAGAUGGCUACAGAUAAAAGAUUAAAUAUCUCCACAGGUAGCUACUCCAUGUUCACCUUAUCUUAUGUAAAGUGCUGAUUUACUGAGCAGGAGACAGAUAUGUAACUGACUAUUCCCUAGCUGCUCUUCUCCUCUUGCAAUGUGUGGAUUACCAUACCCUUCCUCUAUCCCCUCCAGAGAUGAAUUUUUCCAUGUCUGUUUCCCCCAUUUAAAUAUUGAAGCCCUCACUAUCAUCUUUGGAGAAAGGGACAGAUCAUAGACUUGUUUCUGUGAUUCUGUGUCCUUUUCUUCCAGGCAUGUCCUUAACCUUGGCAAAAUAAACUUCUAAAUGGAUUGAGACCUGUCUCAGAUAUUUUUUGGUUCACAAACUCUAGGGUGGGAAAUAUUUCCCCUCAGAACUUUGAAGGCAUUGCCCCCUCAUCUUCUAGCACUCAACAUGGCCAUUGAGAUUUGAUGGCAUUUUAAAUUCCAACAUGUUUAUUAAUGAGACCAGUUUUUUCUCACUAGAAGUUACACAUAAAAUACUUAAAAUAGUUCCUGGAA